rnacentral:rRNA from 1 species
AUUGAACGCUGGCGGCAUGCCUUACACAUGCAAGUCGAACGGCAGCACGGGAGCAAUCCUGGUGGCGAGUGGCGAACGGGUGAGUAAUAUAUCGGAACGUGCCCAGUCGUGGGGGAUAACGUAGCGAAAGCUACGCUAAUACCGCAUACGAUCUACGGAUGAAAGCGGGGGAUCGCAAGACCUCGCGCGAUUGGAGCGGCCGAUAUCAGAUUAGCUAGUUGGUGGGGUAAAGGCCCACCAAGGCGACGAUCUGUAGCUGGUCUGAGAGGACGACCAGCCACACUGGGACUGAGACACGGCCCAGACUCCUACGGGAGGCAGCAGUGGGGAAUUUUGGACAAUGGGCGCAAGCCUGAUCCAGCAAUGCCGCGUGCAGGAAGAAGGCC